rnacentral:piRNA from 1 species
UUGCGUGGGUAAGGAUCUGCAGACCUGGC